GGAGGGUGCGAGCGUUAAUCGGAAUUACUGGGCGUAAAGCGCGCGCAGGCGGCUGGGUCAGUCGGAUGUGAAAGCCCCGGGCUUAACCUGGGAAUUGCAUUCGAUACUGCCCGGCUAGAGUAUGGGAGAGGGAAGUGGAAUUUCCGGUGUAGCGGUGAAAUGCGUAGAUAUCGGAAGGAGCACCAGUGGCGAAGGCGGCUUCCUGGCCCAAUACUGACGCUCAGGUGCGAAAGCGUGGGGAGCGAACAGGGAUUAGAUACCCUGGUAGUCCACGCUGUAAACGAUGAGAACUAGAUGUUGGGAGGGUUAGCCUCUCAGUGUCGCAGCUAACGCGUUAAGUUCUCCGCCUGGGAGUACGACCGCAAGGUUG
rnacentral:rRNA from 1 species